CAGUUAUCGUUUAUUUGAUAGUACCUUACUACUUGGAUACCUGUGGUAAUUCUAGAGCUAAUACAUGCUAAAAACCUCGACUUCGGAAGGGGUGUAUUUAUUAGAUAAAAAACCAAUGCCCUUCGGGGCUCCUUGGUGAUUCAUAAUAACUCAACGAAUCGCAUGGCCUUGCGCCGGCGAUGGUUCAUUCAAAUUUCUGCCCUAUCAACUUUCGAUGGUAGGAUAGUGGCCUACCAUGGUUUCUACGGGUAACGGGGAAUUAGGGUUCUAUUCCGGAGAGGGAGCCUGAGAAACGGCUACCACAUCCAAGGAAGGCAGCAGGCGCGCAAAUUACCCAAUCCCGACACGGGGAGGUAGUGACAAUAAAUACUGAUACAGAGCUCUUUUGGGUUUUGUAAUUGGAAUGAGUACAAUUUAAAUCCCUUAACGAGGAACAAUUGGAGGGCAAGUCUGGUGGGGUCGACCCGUCAAUUUCCAGCGUGGGGCUUUCGGCCCCCUGCUGACGCCAGACUGAGACCGCCGACCUGGCGGUCGCAGUAGGUUCCCCCCGGGGAACCUGCGAGGCAUCUGGUACGGGGAAGAACCUCCGAGGUUUCAUCCCGUGGGUCGGAGAUUCGUCUCGACUCUUAACGCGCGCCAGGGUGCCGGUGGGCUGACGUCCCACUUGAGGUACGUGCUAUAUCCGCCCGUCAAGGGCCUGGACGCCCUCAUCGUCAGGGGUGUCCCUUGGGGAUCAAUAUCGGCCAGCAGCCGCGGUAAUUCCAGCUCCAAUAGCGUAUAUUAAAGUUGUUGCAGUUAAAAAGCUCGUAGUUGAAACUUGGGUCUGGCUGACCGGUCCGCCUCACCGCGUGCACUGGCUCGGCCGGGCCUUUCCUUCUGGGGAGCCUUAUGCCCUUUAUUGGGUGUAACGGGGAACCAGGACUUUUACUUUGAAAAAAUUAGAGUGUUCAAAGCAGGCCUAUGCUCGAAUACAUUAGCAUGGAAUAAUAGAAUAGGACGUGUGGUUCUAUUUUGUUGGUUUCUAGGACCGCCGUAAUGAUUAAUAGGGAUAGUCGGGGGCAUCAGUAUUCAAUUGUCAGAGGUGAAAUUCUUGGAUUUAUUGAAGACUAACUACUGCGAAAGCAUUUGCCAAGGAUGUUUUCAUUAAUCAGUGAACGAAAGUUAGGGGAUCGAAGACGAUUGUCCGCCAGUAUUUCCGGGUAUUUGGUCGUCUACAGCUUUGCGCGCAAAGCUAGUUGGAGCUCUUUGGGCGCUCCAGCCACACCGUCGAACUGUUUGGACCAUUGCUUCGCUCACGCGGGGCAUCAUCCACAGCUAACUCCAACGGCUGCCCUCCCUAGAGGCGGCCCGCGGACGCAGUUUACAGACUGCCUGAUGGUGGGCCGGGCGGAUCUUGCGCCCGGUUUAAGAUAUAGUCGAGUCCCGUGUCCUUUUCAGACGCGGGUAAUUCACGCAGAUACCGUCGUAGUCUUAACCAUAAACUAUGCCGACUAGGGAUCGGACGGUGUUAUUAUUUUGACCCGUUCGGCACCUUACGAGAAAUCAAAGUCUUUGGGUUCUGGGGGGAGUAUGGUCGCAAGGCUGAAACUUAAAGACAUUGACGGAAGGGCACCACCAGGCGUGGAGCCUGCGGCUUAAUUUGACUCAA
rnacentral:rRNA from 1 species